AUUGAACGCUGGCGGCAGGCCUAACACAUGCAAGUCGAGCGGCAGCGGAAAGUAGCUUGCUACUUUGCCGGCGAGCGGCGGACGGGUGAGUAAUGUCUGGGAAACUGCCUGAUGGAGGGGGAUAACUACUGGAAACGGUAGCUAAUACCGCAUAAUGUCGCAAGACCAAAGAGGGGGACCUUCGGGCCUCUUGCCAUCAGAUGUGCCCAGAUGGGAUUAGCUAGUAGGUGGGGUAACGGCUCACCUAGGCGACGAUCCCUAGCUGGUCUGAGAGGAUGACCAGCCAAGCUGGGACUGAGACACGGUCCAGACUCCUACGGGAGGCAGCAGUGGGGAAUAUUGCACAAUGGGCGAAAGCCUAAUGCAGCCAUGCCGCGUGUAUGAAGAAGGCCUUCGGGUUGUAAAGUACUUUCAGCGGGGAGGAAGGCGAUAAGGCUAAUAACCUUGUCGAUUGACGUUACCCGCAGAAGAAGCACCGGCUAACUCCGUGCCAGCCGCCGCCGUAAUAC
rnacentral:rRNA from 1 species